CCAGUUCUUACUAGAAUUUUCCUAUUAUUAUAUUUGCAGAAGUAGAAACUGGAAACUCAAGAAGAAGAAGAAGAAACAAUCAGCUGUACGUGUGCAGGAUAUGGCCCAGUUUUCGCGUAAUGCGUUGUCACCCAUUUCUCAAUAAUAAGCUUAUAACAAGAUCGAGUAUAGAAUCCAGAAGAAACGAAAUCAAGAAAAGAGAGAAGAAGUGUAGAAGGGAGAUCUCUCCCUUUCAUGAUAUAUAAUAAACAGAGGACAUGAAUUGGUUUUCUGUAAUUCUCUUCUUCCUCUUGUUGAUGGUUGUCUUUACUCCUUCUUCUGCUUCCAGUUUUAUUUCAGAUUCUGUUUUUCAAUCCCAUGCUUCUACUGGCAGGAGUCUGCUUCAGGCUAAGAAAGCCUGCCCAGUAAGCUUUGAGUUUAUGA
rnacentral:misc_RNA from 1 species